GGAGAUGUAAUGCAGCCAAGGAUGACUUGCCGAUUCAAAACUUACCAUAUAUAAAUAUAUCAUUCUGGUUUUCUUCUACGAUUGUGAUGAUCGGCUCGGCAAGUUGUCUUUGGCUACGUUUCUACUCCAU
rnacentral:pre_miRNA from 1 species